AGUAAAGUCCAGUUCUCUUUUUUACUCGUCCGUCAUUUUCAGGUAGUUUCUGCCUGAGUCGCUGAUAUUUGAAACCAGAAUGGGAACCGACCUGACUUUCUCCUCUCGUCGGUCCCCUGUUGUGUGUUUACAUGGCUGUGUGGCCUCCAGCCAACCUUUAGCUUCCAGUAUAGGACUGGAUGUCCUGAAGCGUGGUGGCAAUGCGGCAGAUGCUGCAGUUGCCAUAGCAGCAGCCCUGGCAGUAACAGAGCCGUGCAGCACCGGCCCCGGUGGAGACGCCUUCUGCUUGUUCUACAAUGGAAAGACCGGAGAGAUCAGAGGAAUUAACAGCAGUGGUCGUUUUCCUCGAGCACUGACCCUGGACUUCCUGGAAGGACAAGGUUACACCGCAGAGAACCCUCCUUCAGUGUUUGAUGCUCUGAAUGUCACAGUCUCUGGGGCCCUAGCAUGUUGGUGUGAUACUGUGCAGCUGCUAGGAAGUCACAAGCUGUCCUUACAGGAGGUCCUGAGUGGGGCUGUGGAGCUAGCAGAGGUGGGGUUUCCUGUGGCUGAGUUAACAGCUCACCACUGGGCGAACUGGAAGUCUGCUUUGAGGGAUGCUGGAAAGGGUGGAGAAUUGAUGAUUGACGGUCAUGCGCCCAAAUGUGGACAAGUAUUCCAAAACGCUGGCCUGGCUCGAACUUUGAAGGAGCUCGGUGAGCGGGGCAAGCCAGCUUUCUACCAGGGCAGAGUGGCCCAGGCCAUUGUUGACGUCAUCAACCAAAAUGGGGGAGUCAUGACCUUGGAUGACCUGAGCAGCCAUGACAGCGAGGUCGUCACCCCCAUAAGCACAGAGUACAAGGGUGUAUGUCUGUGGGAGCUUCCUCCUAACAGUCAGGGACUGGCUGCCCUGCUCACGCUCAACAUCAUGGAGAACUUUCCUCAACUCAAAGCUAAAGGCCAUAACAGCUCUGACUAUAUGCAUGUACUGGUUGAGGCUGUGCGAUUGGCUCUAACAGAUGCUCUGCGUUACCUGGGUGACUCAAGUCAUGUGACUAUCCCUUUGGAAACCUUACUGGACAAGGGCUACAGUCACCAGCGAGCACAGCUCAUCAGCACGGACAGGGCCAUGGAGCGAGUGGAGCCCGGCCUGAUGACAGAAAGUGACACGGUGUAUUUCUGCGUGAGAGACAGUGAGAAGAAUGCAUGCUCCUUUGUCAACAGCAACCAUAUGGGCUUUGGGACGGGGCUGGUCCCUAAAGACUGUGGAUUCUCACUACAGCUGGUCAGUGGUUGGUUAACCUGGAGGAGGGGAUCGACCAGAAGGUAGCUGAGGAACUGAAAAGACGAGGACACCGUGUCAACUGGCCAGUGUCAGAAUCAACUUUUUGGGAUCAUUCUCUUGCUCAUUAAUGAAAGCGAUUGAAGAAAAACAGGACAAACACCUUUGUACGUAGUGCAAGAUGUCAGCAAAACAGUUACUUUCGAAGGCCUUUGCUCUCAGUCGUAAUUCAAGGCCACAAGAGGUCUCAGUUUGGGCGGGGGCAGAUCAUCGCAGUGGGGGAUUGGUGGAAUCCGUCUGUCACCCAAGGGGAUCGUCCUUCCAGGGUGCUUUGGGCAGGAUCGGAUCCCAGAGCAGACGGAUGUGCUCAGGGGUACUAGAAAAUGUUCUUGCCUUGUUAAUGUUGUAAUCAAAAGAUUUCAUCAUAGAACUACUUGAAAAGAAAUGCCUACAAAUGAUGUGCAGUACACAGGUUGUUAUUUGGCAGCUGAUAUUUGGCAGUGAGCUUUAUAACUCAUUCAAAAACCACUGUACCUUCAUGAAGUGCCUUAUGGAAUCAUGUUUUUAUGCCUGUGUUCAUUAGAUGUUGAGUUAAAGCACAUUUGCUGGA